rnacentral:rRNA from 1 species
AGCGAACGCUGGCGGCAGGCCUAACACAUGCAAGUCGAACGAACCUUUCGGGGUUAGUGGCGGACGGGUGAGUAACCCGUGGGAACGUGCCUUUAGGUUCGGAAUAACUCAGGGAAAAUUGUGCUAAUACCGACUGUGCUCUUCGGGGGGAAGAUUAAUCGCCUUUAGAGCGGCCUGCGUCGGAUUAGCUAGUUGGUUGAGGUAAUGGCUCACCAAGGCGACGAUCAGUAGCUGGUCUGAGAGGAUGAUCAGCCACAUUGGGACUGAGACACGGCCCAAACUCCUACGGGAGGCAGCAGUGGCGAAUCUUGCGCAAUGGGCGAAAGCCAGACGGAGCCAUGCCGCGUGAAUGAUGAAGGUCUUAGGAUUGUAAAAUUCUUUCACCGGGGACGAUAAUGACGGUACCCGGAGAAGAAGCCCCGGCUAACUUCGUG